rnacentral:lncRNA from 1 species
CUUUCGUGGCUGCGGAGGUUAUGUUAACUUUCGAUGGUGGAAUUGUGACGUUAAUAGAAGGACGACGUUGGCUUAGGGUGGAUUGUUUAUGAAACUGUGGUGUUGGAGGAGGUGAAAGAAAGGUUUCCAUUGAAGGAAAAUCAUUAAAGAGGUGUAGCUUUAUGAGUUCUAAAUCAGAUGGUGCUUCUCCGAAAGAAGCCAUUUUUGGGAAGCUAAAAUUAAUAAAAUGGAAGUGAAGUUGGAGGAGAAGG